UACGUAGGAUGCAAGCGUUGUCCGGAAUUACUGGGCGUAAAGGGCGAGCAGGUGGCACUACAAGUCUGAUGUAAAAUCUCCCGGCUUAACUGGGAGGGGCCAUUGGAAACUGUAGAGCUGGAGUGCAGGAGAGGCUAACGGAAUUCCCGGUGUAGUGGUGAAAUGCGUAGAUAUCGGGAGGAACACCAGUGGCGAAGGCGACUACCUGGCCUGUUCUUGACGCUGAGGCGCGAAAGCUAGGGGAGCAAACGGG
rnacentral:rRNA from 1 species